CUCUACAAGUGAUUAAAGUUUCAUUAUAAAUUAAUACAAUAGUUUAAUGUUUGUUACAUAAAAAUGAUACAAAAAAUAUGACUAAAAUUUCCAAGUUUGUUUAUACUAUGAUGAUCUUUAUUUUUUUUAUAGGUAAGAUAAGCGCUGGACAAAGUGUCUUUUGUUUCACAACCUAUAUGUGUAGGGGUCUGUGUAUCGCUCCUUUGAAAGGCAUUUGUAGUAAUGAUAUGUGUCGUUGCUUGUGAUGGUUCACAAAGUGUCACUUUUAAUUAGUGAGAGGUUAAGGGACUAAAUUUGUAAACCUCCUAAUUUUUUAUGAAUUUUUAUGUUAUAUGUGAUAAAGUUUUAAUUUUCAUGAUGAAUAUGAAAUAAAGUUUGAAUUUUUAUGUUA